rnacentral:lncRNA from 1 species
UCAAUUAUUGACGUGUGUUUUAAAUUUCAGUGGUGUAGUCAUCGUCCGGACACAUUGAUAACCAUUAUAUUCCAAGCCUCCCAUUUGUAUCUACCAGGUGAGAAUUAGAACACUUUCUUUCAUUUUCAAAUGGGUUAGACACAUGUGAUUUUACGUUUAAAGUACGUUACAUAUGCAUAAAUACGCUUGGCUAUUUUUCAGUUUCUAGCACAUAUGUGUGCCUUCACAUGAUAAUGCAAUUCAUGUGUGUUACAAAAGGCUUUAAUCAAAUAAGCACGUGAAUUUUACAUUUCAUAGCAUGCAUGUGUGCGUUCCCAUGAUAAUGCAAGGUUGUUUGGAUCUGUCCAAGUGUGGGUACUUCCAUUUUCCCAAAAUACAAACCGUCUUUGCAUUUGCAUGUACACUUAUCGUUGAGUCAUUCAUGUAAUAGAGUCAUGUUUGAAGUCAUUUAUGUAUACAAUUAGAUGUGUUCGUCAUAUCACCUGGUUACGCCCAAAGUAUAAUGCGGUAAUUGUAGUACAACUUUGGGGUGUCGUAUCCACAGGGAGAUGGGAAAAUUGCUCAAAAGAUCAAAAGCUAGGAUUUUUGUCGUGAUUUGUGUAAAAACAAUUUAUCAAUUUGAAUAAAUUGUAAAUAUCAAUGUGUGAAAUAAUGAAGCGUUGAAAUGCCGUCGAUUGGUUUGGAUCAAUCAAUGUCAAUUACGCAAUCAUAUACUCAAUUAAAGAUAUUUGUCCUAAUACUUUAAUUGGAAAAUAUAUCAUUAAAGCCCAAUUUAAUCCUAUGGUAAUUCUAAAAUCCAUAUUUCUUACAAUACAUUCCCACUUUAAUCUAUUGAAACCAGAUCCAAAAACAAUCAUAUACAUAGGGCCUAUAAUGUAAAGAAUCACACCAAUAAGAUUGCAUGAAAUUGAAAUUCAACGAAUAAUUUAAUUCCACAAUAGACAAAAUAUGAUUGAAUCUAUGAGAAAUAUAAUAAACGUUAAACCAAUCUCAUGAUAAUGCUUGGAAUUGACAUUCAAUAAUUAUUUUAAUUAAUCAAUAGAAAAAGCUUGACUAAAUCCAUAACAAAUCUAAUAACAAUUGAAUUAAUCCCAAAACAAUCUCAUUAAAAUGGAAAAUCCAAACCUUAAAAUCAUUUAACAAUGAAAAUUAAACUUACAUGCGUAAAAGGACAUUAAAAUCACCGAUACCAAUCGAGUUCCUUCGCGGCUUCACCGAAUCCCUUAGUUCCUCAUAGUGUUCUUGAGCCAAAAACCAAAGAACAUUAUGCUUGGAAGGGAAUAAUGGUGUUCUGGGAUGAAAUAGGGUUCUCAAAUUGUGCCAAAACUGCGUUUCCAUAAGUGGUUGCAUCAAAAUAGGAAAUUGAAAUUUUUGCCUCGAAAAUGAACCAUGCGACCGCAGAGUAGAAACUCAUGCGGUCGCAUAUAACAACACAUUUGCUGCCUCAAAAUCUCUAGAGCCCUCUAUGCGGUUGCAUGGUUUUUGAACUUUGCGAUCGUAUAGUUCAAAAUUUUUUCCCGCCGGACAGUUUUUAGUAGUUUGGUCAUAGCUUUCCCUCCCGAGGUUGUGUUGGAAAGAUAACUCAAAGGGCUAAAACUUUUCUUUAGAUGUCAUCUUCAAAUUCGAUCGUUUGACAUGUCAAAAAGGGUCCUAAUAUGAGGCUAAAAAUCGAUGCGUAACUUUUUUCGAUUAAGAAUUGAUGUGUGAUCAAACUUUGACGAUAUUUCUUCCCUUUGACUUCUUUUCUCAUCCACUUGACUUUUUUAAUACUUUUGAAUCUUCAUCCUAAGGUUAGAUAUAAGUUUGGAGUAUUUGUACUUUAGUCUCCAAACUUUCAUUUUCUUCCACUUUGGUCUUUUUUUUUGCUAUUUUAUUCUAAAUUUCACUUUUUCUACCAAAAUACAACCUAAAUCAAAACAUAAGUAUAAUGAGUUAUGAGUUCAUUUUGGUAUCAAUUAACCACACGAAUGCAAUAAUUAAGAGGGAAAAAUAUUAUAUUUUACACUCUUAUCACACCUCCCAACUUGCUUAUUGCUAGUUCCUAGCAAUUCAAUGUAGAAAAAACAAAUGAAUGAUUACACAAGUGAAAUUAUUAAGUUCCAACUUAACUGCAAUUCAUGUUUUUUCAAACUCAACACCACAAGAACAUAAAAAUGCCAUGAUCAUCAUGAUAUCAAAAACACUUGCCAAAUGUGAGAGUGUGUGUCAAGUCAUAGCCAUCUUACCAUCAACCCUAAUACAUGUAACAUCAAGUAUGUCUUGAGCCAAAGGUUCUGCCCCAUAACUCAUGGGUAUCAAAGUGUUUAGUGUGAUUUUCUCUCUAUGGAGUUGAGAAAGGGAUACACUCAGAAUUUGGACACUUAAAUAUUUAUGAAUGAGCAACAAGCAAACAUUGAUCACAUGAUAGGCAUACUGUCAAAUGAGAAUUCAUCAACUUCAUUGCACAAUCUUACUUGGGAUCAAAACAGUCAAUGCAAAAUAUUUGUAAUGUGGCGCAGAUUGGAUUAUAUGAAAAAAGGGAUAUAAAGAUUCAAACACUUCCAAGCGCAUAGCUAAGUGUCGCAUCAAGCCUUUCAAUGAAUCAAAUCAACACAUUCUUCAUUACUUUCAACCCCCAAAAUGAAUCAAAUUUUUUUCUUUUUUUUCCUUUUUUUUAAUAACCUUCAUUUCUUCUUCUUUUAACUUUUAUCACUUCACUUGAACAAUUAUGAACUCUUGUAUCCCCCUGUUUCUUUUCUUCACAAUUAAAUCUCCAAUACCUACUAUACACUUGGAAAUGAAAAGGUGGGCAAAUACAUGUAUAGGUCUCAUUCCCAUAUGUAGGGGUAGGAAUAGCACGGGUGCAUGAAGAAAAAUGUUAAACAUCUGUGUGUAUUGGCUCAAAGUGGCUACAAGGGGUUAGAAUCAUGAAAGAAAAAUGGUUUGAAAGGUUAAAAUUCAAUCCUAAAUUGAUUGUCAUCAUUUUUCAAGUAAUCAACCAUCAUACCACAAAUCAUAUAAACUUAUUCUCAAAAGAGUUUCUAAUUCACAAAACCAAUGAACGCUUAUUGCCUUUUUAAUGUACCGUAGCUCUCAAUUUUCACCAACUCUCACAUGAAAACUUCAACAAGGACUCCUAUGUCAAACUACCAUCUUACCACAAAACUUUUGUUCACAAAAGGAAUUUAGCAAAUGUCUCAACAUCUAGACUCACAUAAACAAUAUUAAUUCCUAGUGGCAUAUUUUGUCAUUCAAGAACAUGAACAUGUAGCAAAUAGAGAUUUAAGGAAAAAUUUUAGACCAAUUUUGUGAAACAAACCAACACUCCAUGAAAAUCAUGCAAUUUACAACAAAAUUUCAAAUACACUCUACCCCAACUAAACAUUGCAUUGUCCUUAAUACAAAAACAUGUUUGCUAAAUCAAGGUAGGGAAAGAUGUCACCUGAAUACCGAAGUGAAUCAACAUAAGUUGAAGUAAGAGAAGCUUGAAAGGCUUCAAUGGAAAAGGUAAUGCAAAAAAUGAAAAUAAAAUUAGAAUGCAGUGAAUAAUGUAUGUGAUGCAAAUAAACCUAACAAAUCCAAAAAUAAGAUAAAAGAAAGGAAAAGAACUCUUCUUGGGUUUCUUCCUAAGUAGAGCGGUUGUUUAUUGUCGUUGGUUCGAUCCAAUGUUUGUUUCUUUAACCCGUAUCCAGCCAGGGCAUUGUCAACCUGCGAUGCAUUAUACAAGACUCAUUGGAAGUAGUCAUCGAUGGUGUCCCAUAAUCCUGAAAAUAAUAAAAAGCAGCACAAAUAUCAGCAUAUCCUCCAUUAUCAUACCCUGUAGGAAUUUUAGAAUUUAAAGGGUUGGGGUCAAUAAGCGCAUGUUCUUCAUCCUCAACGAGUGCAUUAAUCAUGUAUAUUUGAUGACACUCAUCUCCUCAAGUUGUUUCGUGACGUGAAAGAUUUUGACGUCUAAGGUCAUGUUUUCAAAAGAUAGCUUCAUCAACCUAUUCCUGCAAUCGAUAAGAGCUUUACUUGUAGCAAGAAAAGGUCUACCAAGAAUAAUGGGAAUCUUGGAGUUAACAUUCACGUCUACUUUUGCAUCCAAAACCAAAAAAUCCAUAGGGUUGCAAAAUUUGCCAAUAUGUACUAGCACAUCAUCAAUUACCCCCUAGGUUUAAUAGUGGACCGAUCAACCAAUUGUAGGACCACUGUGAUAGGUUUGAUCUCACCUAGACUUAACACUGAGUAUAUAGAAUAAGGCAUGAUAUUGACACUAGUCCCUUAGUCGAGAAGAGCUUGUGAAAUCUCAUGGUUCCCUAUGACACAAGAAAGAGUAGGAUAUCCAGGGUUGUUAUACUUUGGUGGGAUCCUCUACUCUAUCACAUCACUCACUUUCUCAAUCAAGAAAACAGUCUUCUUGACAUGGUGCAUCCUUUUUAUAGUACACAAGUCUUUAAGGACUUUAGCAUAUGUAGGAACCUGUGAAAUCACUUGCAGGAGAGGUAGAUUGAUUUUUACCUGAAUGAGGUGUUCUAGAAUUUCAGUAUGUUGUCCGGUGGGCUUCGAGGUAGACUUGAGAGCUUGAGGGAAUGACACUCUAGAUGGAUUCUUCACUACCUCCUCACUAGGGGUACUAUCUUCUGAGCUACUGGGGUCCUUUUCAUUUUCCCUAAGUUUGGGGGGUUGGUUCUAUAACUUUUCCAGAUCAAGUAGUUAUGGUAUUAACUUUCUUAAGGUAGUUUUCUCCUGAGUUUGAGGUUUGUGCCAUAUGUUGUCCUUUAGGGUUUGUUUGAGCCUGUACUAAAAAUUUCUCACGUUUUUCUACAGUUAAGGCAUUAGUUAGUUUGGACAUAUGAGAUUUUAUUUCCUUGUUUUCUUCAUCAAUUUGAGUGAUCGUAGUCUCAAACUUUUGGUUAGUCUUACUCUGUUCCUUUAUAAAUACAUGUAGAGUGUCUUUUAAAGAGUUUUUAGAGAACGUGGGUUGAUAUGGAGGUGUAGAGUAAGCUUUAUUUGCCUGACCUUCAGAUUUUCAACUGAGAUUGGGGUAAUUCCACCACCCCGAAUUAUAUGUUUCAGAAAAGGGAGAAUAAGGCUUUUGGUAUGUGUCUAAGGCAUUGCAGUGUUCCUUAUAAACUUCAUUCAUCUCAGUGUAGGUAGUGCACUCUUGAGUUGGAUGAUCAGUUCCGCCACAAACAAAACACGAUCCUAAAGAUUCAACACGGGAUGCAUUCUGUGUAGGCUUUGAGUCCCUAGAACGUAAGAUUUCGAGUUCUUUAGUGAGGGCGUCUACCUUGGCUCUAAGGUUAUCCUCCUCCCUAAGAUGAUAAAUACCUGUGCUAGUUGUGUUUUCGAUGGGUCGUGACCUAUUGGUGCUAUCAAUGGAACUAGGUCCAGUCCAGAUAUGGGCUUUCUUGGCUAAGUCAUCUAAGUACUCUAUAGUCUCAUCUGGAUCUUUCUGUAAGAAAUCACCAUUACACAUCAUUUCAACAAACUGGUGUUCUCUAGGUGUUAAUUUCUCAUAGAAAUAACUCAUCCUAUGCCCGCUCUCAUAACCAUGAUGGGGACAAAGGGCUUGCAACUCUUUAUAUCUUUCCCGAGCUUAGUAUAUGUUUUCAUUAUCCUUUUGGCAAAUAAAAAGAUUUGCUUUUUGAGGGCAGUGGUUUUAUGAUAGGGAUAGUAUUUGCUAAAGAAAGUUUGGGUCAUUUCAGCUCAAGUCCCAAUUGAACGUGGUCGCAAUAAAUACAGCCAGCUCUUUGCUCUUUCUUUAAGAGAAAACAGGAAAAAAUGAAGCCUAACUUCAUCCAUUGUACCACGUUAAUUGUGAAAAGUUGCAACCACCUCUUCAAAUUCUCUAAUAUGUACGUAUGGAUUUUCAUUUUCAAGAUUGUGAAAGGUGGUAAGAAAUUGGAUCAUUUCCAAUUUAAGGUCAUAAGUGGCUGGAAAUAUAAUGCAUGAUGGUGUAGAUGUGCAUGUGAGGUGAAGAUAAUCAUGCAAAUUCCUAGUUGGUGCCUCUUCGUGUUCAAUAUCAAUCAUUGUGUUGUGUGAUGUGAUGUGUGUGCCAAUAGAUUUACUAUUAAAGAGAGGGUUAGGAAGAGAUUCAAAUACUGGUGAAAGCCUUGCAAUGAAUCAUCCCUGCUCGUCUUGAUCCCUAUUCAUAAUGCACGAAAAUGGGGUGUUGUGAGAAAUAAUAAACUACCAACUAUGAGGCUAGUUUAAAAAAUUUUCCCGUCGGACAGUUUUUAGUAUUUUGGCUAUAAUUUUCUCUUCUAAUGUUCGAUUGAGGUGAUUCAAGUUGUGUUGGAAAGAUAACUUAAAGGGAUAAAAUUUUCUUCAUAUGUCAUCUUCUAAUUUGAUCGUUUGACAUGUCAACAAUGGGUCCCAAUAUGAGGCCAAAAAUCGGUGCAUAACUUUUUUCGAUUGGGAAUUGAUGUGUGAUUAAACUUUGACGAUAUUUCAUCCCUUUGACUUCUUUUCUCAUCCACUUGACUUCUAACACUCUCAAAUCUUCAUCCUAAGGUUAGACACAAGUUUGAAGUAUUUGCACUUUAGCCCUCGAACUUUCAUUUUCUUCCACUUUGGUCAUUUUUCGCUCUUUUCUUCUAACUUCCAACUUUUCUACCAAAAUACAACAUAAAUCAAAAGAUAAGUAUAAUAAGUUCAUUUUGGUAUCAAAUAACAACACGAAUGCAAUAAUUAAGGGGGAAAAAUAUUAUAUUUUGCACUCUUAUCAUCACUCGACCCUUCAUGCCUGAAAAAUCAUGCAAUUGUAUGGCAUAUGAUUUGAGCGGAUCAUUCACAAUUUUUGUUGUUACAAUUGGCUUCAAACAUGCAUUACACAACUCUUAGUAAAUUGUCAUUCCUGACACUUUGCCUUAGUUAAUCUCGACAAUUUAACCAUGUUUGGAUAUCAACCGUCAGUAUCGAUAGAUCAUUGGUCAAUACCAACAGUUAAUGUCAAUUUUUCUUCACAGUUCACUUAGUCCAUGCAUGAUUUCAAUUCAUUAAAUGUUACAUGUGGUACAUUAUGUUUAACAUUAUAAUGUAACCCCAUAAUUUUUCUGCAUCUUUCAGGACAGAUGGAGUACGAAUUCCUCAUUCCGAAAGAUACACGAUUGCGGGCCCACAUUUUCUAGGGAAAUAACCUCAAGUAUGUCAAGACGAUGAUGGAGCAUUUUAACGAGUGCCAACGUGAGGACUUCCGUAACUCAUAGCUGGGGUUCUGGUCCACGUUCUUCACAUACGAUUCUCCGCCUUGCUAAUUCAAUAGCUAAUGUUCAUAACCAUCCGCACUGAUAAGGUGAACGAGUUGUGGUUUAAUGUGUAAGGCCAAAUGAUAAGGUUCAAUCUGCAGGAGUAAGCUAUUGUGAUGGGGUUAAGAUGCGGGUCUUCUAGGAGGGUGAUCAAUUGGCUCGAGUGCUAGAGAGAAGGAGAUUAAAAGAGAGGUACUUCAAAUCCAUUGACAAGAUUUCAUGUGCAUAACUCUAGACUACUUUUUUCGACCUUCGACGACCCUAGCUGAUCGCUAUAAGCUUGGGAUGUUCUAAUUAUUGAAGGAGUUUUCAAUGCUCCGGAUAAUAAUGUCGGUAUUGGUUUGAACACACUAUUAAUUUGGACGACCUUGACUUAUUUUUUGACUAUAUUUGGGGUAGAGUUGGAUACAGAUGUAUGUUGAAGGGAUUCUAGGGUGAUUGGGAAAGAAAAUUUCGCGACGUCAAGAGGAAGAAGGAGAAGGAGAUCACUUACAUGGUCAUGGCUUCCCCAUUGCUAUGCAGGUAUGAAUAUUUGUUUUUAUUCUAGCAUGCCUGAUUUUUCACAACUACAUUUUCCUGCCUCCAAUUUCAUUAAUUCUAAAUUUUUUUUCUUGCAAUAGGUAUGAGCGUACGAGGCGCUUCUGGAGAUUGGGAAAUGUUUCGAUCAGUGACUCGGUGAACGAAUGCCAUGACUUCUUAGCUGGCUGACAAGAAAACAGCCAUAGCAUCACACAUAUGAGGCAUUCUUCAUAAAUGUACAUGUACAAUCUGGUGGCUUUUUUUUUUCAUAAUGAACGUUUCUUUUCAUGCGUACCUUCUCAUCUGACCCUCGUAACCUUAUUUUGUAGCUGCACAUUUACGCAACACUGCCUCCUACUGAUGUUGAAUGUGAGCAAGCCUAUGUGUCUACUUUUGUGCCAUACGAUGAUCCUCCUAUGCUCGUGCUAAAUGACAUUGCCAGGACCAUUACGGCACCAUAGUUUAAUGCAUUGCGUGUCAGCAGUGGAGGUGGUGGAUAGCCGUCUAUGUAGGAUACCGACGACGGAGAGUCCAAUGGAAGAAGUGGUGAGGACGAGACGUCUAGACCUGAUGAUGGAGAUGGACGGUCAGGCAGUGAUCAAGACAGUAAGGAUACUAAAGACAGUGACGACGACCAUGGUGAUCGAUUGAAUGAUGGUGAUGAUACCACGGAGGGCAAACGAGUGUGUCUUCCAUGCCUUGCAAGCCAGGAGUUUCUUCUCUAGUGCAUAGGCAGUCACAUAUACACAAUCAGUUGGAACAUUUGGAAUAAGAAUGAAAAGAGGAAAAGUUGAGUAGCUGCUGUUGGACCAAAGAAUCUUCAUUGAAAUGCAACUUUGGACUGUGAAGCUUUAAAUCUUCCAACACGUAACCUCUGAAUUUACAAGACUCUGGGAGUUCAUAGCUACCCUUGUGCCUCCAUCCAGUCGGAACACCACUGCAUCUGCGAUGAAUGCUGAGAUCGAGGCCGGAGUUUCAGAUAAUUUACCACGAGGUAUGUGUAUUACGUGUGUAAACCUUCUGCUUCUUAAAUGUUACCUAGGUUGAGCAAAACUUAUUCUACCUGUUGCUCUCAUUUUUGUUCUUGUUUCAAUUGUGAUGUAGAAGUACAUGGAUGAGUUAUGGAGCCAUGCUUGAACGAGCAGAAGAUGUCAGUGCCUACUGGAACCGAAUAUCUGCAAGAUAUGUGGGUUAUUUAUGAGCAAAUCGAAAAUUAUUGUUUCACGUACAUAUGUUAGUUAAUGCCUAGCGUUGUUUGUCACACUUGUAGAUUACAUUGUUUAAUAAUGCUCCUUCUCAUUUUCAAUGUACGAAGAACUUGAAGAAAUGCACACAAAUUAUCAUGCUAUGGAAUAUUGAAAUGACUUUUUUUCAUUUUAUUUGUCCCUUUUUUCAAUACAAAAACUCCCACAAUAUAGCAACCUCAAGUAUAAUGGAGGCAGAAAGGAGCUUCAUUUCUUCACCUACACAAUUUUUUUC